AUUUUGAAGGAAUGUGUGAUAUUAUAAUAAUGCCCGAUUCGAGUUCGGAGGAAUGUGUGAUAUUAUGAUGAUGCUUGAUGAAUUUGGAGAAAUAUGUGAUACUAUGAUAAUGCCUGGUUUGAGUCCAGAGGAAUGUGUGAUAUUAUGAUGUUGCCCGAUGAAUCCAGAGGAAUAUGUUGAUAUUUUGAUGACGUCCGACGAAUCCAGAAGAGGUGGUAUGGAACGCCGUGAUGAGUUCUUUUUUGUGCUCUCUUUCAUGUACUUUCCGGCUGUAUGGGACGUCGUGACCCAGGUUCUAAUUGCUGCCGUUGAGCUAGUUUGUGCGAGUUGACUAUUCGGAGAUAGGGUGAGCUCUUGGAGAUCGAGUUACUCUCUUUCCUCUCUAUCCUUAUUUGUCUUUUUCUUUCAAGACAAAUGUAUGAGAUUAUUUAAGAUAUUUUAGAUUCUGGGAUUGUAAAUUCCUCUUGUCAAGUUUAUAAGCUUUUGUAUUAAUACUAUCAGG